AUUGAACGCUGGCGGCAUGCUUUACACAUGCAAGUCGAACGGUAACAGGCCGCAAGGUGCUGACGAGUGGCGAACGGGUGAGUAAUGCAUCGGAACGUGCCCAGUCGUGGGGGAUAACGCAGCGAAAGCUGUGCUAAUACCGCAUACGAUCUGUGGAUGAAAGCGGGGGACCUUCGGGCCUCGCGCGAUUGGAGCGGCCGAUGUCAGAUUAGGUAGUUGGGGGGGUAAAGGCUCACCAAGCCGACGAUCUGUAGCUGGUCUGAGGGGACGACCAGCCACACUGGGACUGAGACACGGCCCAGACUCCUACGGGAGGCAGCAGUGGGGAAUUUUGGACAAUGGGCGCAAGCCUGAUCCAGCAAUGCCGCGUGCAGGAAGAAGGCCUUCGGGUUGUAAACUGCUUUUGUACGGAGCGAAAAGGCUCCCUCUAAUACAGGGGGCUCAUGACGGUACCGUAAGAAUAAGCACCGGCUAACUACGUGCCAGCCGCCGCCGUAAGAC
rnacentral:rRNA from 1 species